CUGGUGUUCGGGUUGUCAUGCCAAUGGCACUGCCCGGUAGCUAAAUGCGGAAGAGAUAAGUGCUGAAAGCAUCUAAGCACGAAACUUGCCCCGAGAUGAGUUCUCCCUGACUCCUUGAGAGUCCUGAAGGAACGUUGAAGACGACGACGUUGAUAGGCCGGGUGUGUAAGCGCAGCGAUGCGUUGAGCUAACCGGUACUAAUAAACCGUGAGGCUUAACCUU
rnacentral:rRNA from 1 species